rnacentral:tRNA from 1 species
UCGGCUGUGGUGUAAUUGGCAACACUCGGGCCUUUGGAGCCUGCUUUCCAGGUUCGAGUCCUGGCAGCCGAG